rnacentral:rRNA from 1 species
GCGCAGCAGGCGCGAAUUUUUCUCAAUGGGGAAAACCCUGAAGGAGCGACGCCGCGUGAAGGAUGAAGGUCUUCGGAUUGUAAACUUCUGUCAUUAGGGAACAAAUCUUCCAAGUAACUACUGGAAGUCUGAUAGUACCUGAAGAGGAAGAGACGGCUAACUCUGUGCCAGCAGCCGCGGUAAUACAGAGGUCUCAACCGUUGUUCGGAUUCAUUGGGCGUAAAGGGUGCGUAGGCGGCGGAGUAAGUCAGGUGUGAAAUCUCGGGGCUCAACCCCGAAACUGCACUUGAUACUGCUUCGCUUGAGUACUGGAGAGGAGACUGGAAUUUACGGUGUAGCAGUGAAAUGCGUAGAUAUCGUAAGGAAGACCAGUGGCGAAGGCGAGUCUCUGGACAGUUACUGACGCUGAGGCACGAAGGCCAGGGGAGCAAACGGGAUUAGAUACCCGCGUAGU